AAGAUCUUAGUUAAAUAAUAACAAAAAACUGUCUAUUUUUAGUUGUAUAAAUACAGAUCUUA
rnacentral:tRNA from 1 species